GACGAACGCUGGCGGCGUGCCUAAUACAUGCAAGUCGAGCGAAGAGUUUCUGGUGCUUGCACUGGAAACACUGAGCGGCGCACGGGUGAGUAACACGUAAAGAACCUGCCUCAUAGACGGGGACAACUAUUGGAAACGAGAGCUAAUACCGGAUAACAGCAUUAACUGAAUGGCUGAUGUGUAAAAGGUUGUUUUGGUAACACUUUGAGAUGGCUUUGCGGUGCAUUAGCUAGUUGGUGGGGUAAAGGCCUACCAAGGCGACGAUGCAUAGCCGACCUGAGAGGGUGAUCGGCCACACUGGGACUGAGACACGGCCCAGACUCCUACGGGAGGCAGCAGUAGGGAAUCUUCCGCAAAGGGCGAAAGCCUGACGGAGCAACGCCGCGUGAGUGAAGAAGGACUUCGGUUCGUAAAGCUCUGUUGUUAGGGAAGAAUGAUUGUGUAAUAACUAUACCCCGUAGAGACGGUACCUAACCAGAAAGCCACGGCUAACUACGUG
rnacentral:rRNA from 1 species